UUCAAACAACCAAGAUAUAUGUUAGUCCAAAGACAGAAUGAGGAGCGAACUUUUACCACUUAUUUGUGUAGAAGAGUAUGGUACCAGGGGUGCAGCUGACUCUGAUUCCCGGCUUGUUCUAAUGAAAAAAGGCAGAUGAGGCACUGGAAUCCGAAUGUAAUCAAAAAUGCCAUUGUAUGAGG